UGGUGGGUUGCCUUGUCAGGUUGAUUCCGGUAACGAACGAGACCUCAGCCUGCUAAAUAGUCACGGCUACCUUGGUAGUCGCUUGACUUCUUAGAGGGACUAUUGGCGUUUAGCCAAUGGAAGUGUGAGGCAAUAACA
rnacentral:rRNA from 1 species